rnacentral:rRNA from 1 species
UACGUAGGGGGCGAGCGUUGUCCGGAUUUAUUGGGCGUAAAGGGCGUGUAGGCGGUCUUUUAAGUCAGGGGUGAAACCCCGGGGCUCAACCCCGGGCCUGCCUCUGAAACUGAGGGACUUGAGUGCUCUAGAGGGCAGUGGAAUUCCCGGUGUAGCAGUGAAAUGCGUAGAGAUCGGGAGGAACACCAGUGGCGAAGGCGACUGCCUGGGGGGCAACUGACGCUGAGGCGCGAAAGCUGGGGGAGCAAACGGG